UACGUAGGGUGCAAGCGUUGUCCGGAAUUAUUGGGCGUAAAGCGUGCGCAGGCGGCUUUGCAAGACAGAUGUGAAAUCCCCGGGCUCAACCUGGGAACUGCAUUUGUGACUGCAAGGCUAGAGUACGGCAGAGGGGGAUGGAAUUCCGCGUGUAGCAGUGAAAUGCGUAGAUAUGCGGAGGAACACCAAUGGCGAAGGCAAUCCCCUGGGCCUGUACUGACGCUCAUGCACGAAAGCGUGGGGAGCAAACAGG
rnacentral:rRNA from 1 species